rnacentral:rRNA from 1 species
CCUACGGGUGGCAGCAGUGGGGGAUAUUGCACAAUGGGGGGAACCCUGAUGCAGCGACGCCGCGUGGGUGAAGGAGCGUUUCGGCGCGUAAAGCCCUAUCGGCAGGGAAGAAGCUGACGGUACCUGACCAAGAAGCCCCGGCUAACUACGUGACAGCAGCCGCGGUAAUACGUAGGGGGCAAGCGUUAUCCGGAUUUACUGGGUGUCAAGGGGGCGCAGGCGGCGAUGCAAGCCAGGAGUGACAGUCCGGGGCCCAACCCCGGGAAUGCUCGUGGAACUGCAUGAAUGGAGUACAGGAGGGGCAGGCGGAAUGCCUAGUGUAGCGGUGAAAUGCGUAGAUAUUAGGAGGAACACCGGUGGCGAAGGCAGCCUGCUGGACUGUGACUGACGUUGAGGCCCGAAGGCGUGGGGAGCAAACAGGAUUAGAUACCCGAGUAGUC